AUUUGUUAUUUCAAAACCAAAGACAAUAGACAUUUUAUUAUCAAUUAUUAAUUUAAAUCAACCAUACAAAUUGCUUUUAAGUUUUGUCCACCCAAUUUUUGUAAAACAUAAACAAAUAAUUCUAUUCCAUGAAAGCCCCUAUUUUGCAAGCAUUACAUAUGCUUUUUUAAUACCACAAAUAGAUGAUAUGAUAUUGUGGAUUUUAAAAAAUUGAUUCAAAUGAAGACCUGAGAAGGAUUUAGAAUUUCCAUAAUAGAGAGGUAACUCUUGACAAGGAGUUAUUUUAUAUCAAGCAUCCUUCUAUCAGUUUCAUAGGUUUUUAUGUAAUCUUCACAAUGGUCCUGUGGUGUGGGAUUCACUAACUUUACAAACAAGAAAAAUGAGGAAUACAGUAUCAAUAAGUUACCCACAUCAGCUCAUUAGUGCUGACCUAGAACACCAAUACCGGCAGUCUGGUGUAGACCCAGGUUUUAGCCACUUUGUUAGGAUGGGUAACUUUGCUUUUCUAUGUCUAUGUUUCAUCAUCUGAGAAAAUACAGGCAGGAAAACAAUGAAUACCCCUUUCAGAGAGAAGUAUUUUAGCAGUCAGAAAACAAGUCACAUUUAAAAAUGUAUCUCCAAAUUAAUCAAAAAUUAAAUUUCUCUUCAAACAGGAAAUGUAAGGUUCCCUAGUUAGUCUGAGGAAAUUUAGGAAAAGCCACUUUGUGCUAGAAUAUCAUUUUAAUAAUCAUUUAAAAUUGGGUCUUUUGAGCUUAUUUGAAGUUCAAGGAUUCUUUUUUAAAUUGAUGGAAAUUAGUGAAAAUAUGUAAUUAAUUACACCUAAUUUACUUUCUGGCUUCUCUUUGGUAUAGGACAAAAGUUAUACUGGAAUCUUUUCUUUUCCCUAUUCUUACUUGUUCAAGAAGUAAUUCUAUGGGUUAGGUUGAAAACCUAUAAAAGCCAGUGACCGAGAGACUUAUUGAGGACUGUUGAUUUUGGAUCAGAUGAAAAUAAUGGGUAGAAAGGAG
rnacentral:lncRNA from 1 species